UCUUUCUUCUCCAUAGGAAAAAACCAGAGAAGUCUUCAGAUUCAAUCAGCUUGGCUUCCUCAAAUUCUCAGAUUUGAUCUCUUGCCACCGUCGAUUGAAGCUUCACCACCACACUCCUUUUGACACCGUUGCUCUUUACCACCACCACCACCAGCUCAUCACCACCAUCGCCAUCUCUCUCUGAUUUGGGUUCAGAUUAGGGUUCCCAAGGUCGCUCCUGCUCCUCAUACGGUUUCUGGGUUGGAGAUGGCGGCAUUGAUGAAGCAGCGGAGGAGGCUUCGGCGCAGAAGAAACGUGUUUCUCUUCAGAGACAAGCCGCCGUUACGGUUGAGGCUGCUGAGGAUUACGCUCGGAGGUUUGAAUCUGGUGUCAAUGAGCUUUCCUCUCUAUCUAACGAUCAGGUUGGUGAGGAGUUGGCUCAGUCCGGCGUGAAUGUAAUGUGCAAAAUGUGCUUUUUGGGAUAAAGCCAAGGAAGUGAGAGAGCAAGGAGGAUGCUUUCUUGUAAAAGCUGUGGCAAGAAGUACAAUAAGAAUUGUGUAAAUCUUGGGCUCAACAUAUAGGUGCUUUCAUUUGAUUCGUUGCAGAUUUGUUUCAUUGGAGUUCAUGGAGUUGUCACUCCUGCUGUGUUUGUGAGAUUCCAAAUGGAUUGCUGCAAGAUUGCAAGAGUCUGCAAAAUCUUUCUCUGCAUAACAAUCCCAUUUCAAUGGAUGAGUUUCGGCUGAUGGAAGGGCUGGACCUUGAAGACUGUCCUGAAAAAGAGCCUCUUGGUCAUGGGUUCUAUGCAGACUUUACUAUGGCAACAAGGAUAACAAUACCAGAUUUCAUCACCGAGACUAUCUGUUAUAUUUUGCAAUGAGUUCAUGUGUUUCAUGUAUUUGAUUUUGUGUGUGUUUAAAUCAUUUUGGAAUCUAAAUUUUUUUUAACC